UUCUCGUCGUUAUUUUUUUUGCUGUCAUAAUUUUGCCAGGGCUAUUAUAUUUCUUUCUGCUGUUUCCCCAUUUGCUAUCCAGUAAAUAAUUGACUGACCAGAAGCAUAAUCUGUGUUAUAACCCAUUUCCUUUGAAGCCAUGGACGUUUUUAGAGCAUUUCAUCAGUACUUCACUGGAGAUCCAGCACUUUCCUGGGGAGGUUACAUGGAGUUCCCACAAUUAAAAAAAACAGCGCGCAGCCAUUUUGUUCAUUCUACCCAAAAGUCAAUUUUUAAUAUAGAAGUAACAUUUAACAAGACUGUGUAGCUUUCAGUAGGCAUGAAGGAGAAAGAAUUUAUUGUUUUCGAAUGAUGCCUUUGUCUCCUGACUAGCUCUCUGUGCAGGUGUGUGGCUUACUGGGUUGAAAAUAGCUAAAGGAGGGAGGAUUCCACAAUAUUCACCUCUUUUUCUUCUCAGUGGUUUCUCUGUCAGUGAAUGAAUCCCCAAACACAAGUUUUAAGCUGAAAAUUCUUUAUUCUAGACAUCUCUACUGUCCAAAUCAAAAUGAAAAUGUGGCCAGUUAAGCACCCUUUUUUCUUAUUAUUAUUUCCUUUUUUACUCCUCUUUGUUUUGUUUUCAGUUCUGCAGACCUAAGACAUCAUUUGCCUCGCUCUGUGUUCUCCAUUGCCAUCUUGUUUUAUUCUGUCACUGUGGAAUGUCACCACAGUGUGUCUUGUCAGGCUGAUAACUGGCAAACCCUUAAACUCACCUCUCUCUUUCACUGGUUUCUUCUCUGGUCUACC